rnacentral:tRNA from 1 species
GGUGGCUCAGUGGUAGAGCUCUUGCCUUGCAUGCAUGAGGCCCUGGGUUCGAUUCCUCAGCACCG